GAAUUCAAAACGCUUUCACUUCAUCUUCAUUUUCAUCAUGUUCAGAAACAACACAUACAACGACGGCGCUUCAUCUUCUCUCUCGGUCAAGUUCUCCGUCGUCCCAACCUCGCGUCUGUUUCAAACACGAAGGCCGAAGAACUCAUACGAGUUCUCUUCUCCGGCGAACUCUCGGUGUUCUUACCAAUGGUAUUGAAGUGAAGCUGCAUAGGAAUCCUCUUAGUGUUAUUGAACCACCUACUGGAUGAGGUAGAUGAUGAUCUUUAAUUUUAGAAUACUCAGUGGCAUGGAUCAGAUAUGGAGGAUUGAUUUGAGCAAAUUGGAAAUGGCUGCAUUGUGGAUGUUGUAGGUGGGUGUUAUUCCAAACCCGUGUAAGGAGCAGCAGGUAAAUGUUAUUCAGAGGCAUUUCAUGUCGCAUGUGCAUUAUUUGUUUUUGUUUCAUUAGUGAUUGUUCAGUUUCUAUAACACUUUUAUUUUGUUGAACAUGUUCUAAAUUGAUUUGGUUUCCCCACUGUCACAAAUCCCAUGCAUCCACAGAGUAGGAACAUCGGUGACCACUUGAUCCAGAUAAAUCAAAAUCUAUUUGCUUUCUGCAUAGUCUGAUCUUGAUCAAACAAUCACUGAUCUUGAUAAAACUACCUGAAUUAAUGAGAUUAUUAUCAAACAUCUGGAUCCAAAUAAAAAUAAAAAUCUACUUGCCUCAUGAUGUUUGAUGUAGGAGAAGGACAAGUAUUUUGUUAAUUUGUGUUGUCUGAAAUUAUGUUUUAUUCUUUUGUUCAUGAAGCAAAUGAAAGAGUUGCAAAAACUAGAAAGAUGGAAUUGUUCGCUUGCAUGCACAAUACUCAUGUAGAGUAGGUUUUCUGUUUUAUGAUUGUUAUGUAUUUUUAGUUCUCAUGGUAUUUUAAAAUUUUUUUUAUUGGGGUGGAGUAUUGUCUGGAUUUAAAAUGAUUUUUGAACUAAAAAACUAAUCUGGUUGUAACUGUUUGUUUAGUGGGGAAAAUUCAUCCAUAU